rnacentral:rRNA from 1 species
UAGGGAAUCUUCCGCAAUGGACGCAAGUCUGACGGAGCAACGCCGCGUGAGUGAAGAAGGAUUUCGGUUCGUAAAACUCUGUUGUUAGAGAAGAACAGCGCAUAGAGUAACUGUUGUGCGUGUGACGGUAUCUAACCAGAAAGCCACGGCUAACUACGUGCCAGCAGCCGCGGUAAUACGUAGGUGGCAAGCGUUGUCCGGAUUUAUUGGGCGUAAAGCGAGCGCAGGCGGUCAAUUAAGUCUGAUGUGAAAGCCCCCGGCUCAACCGGGGAGGGUCAUUGGAAACUGGUUGACUUGAGUGCAGAAGAGGAGAGUGGAAUUCCAUGUGUAGCGGUGAAAUGCGUAGAUAUAUGGAGGAACACCAGUGGCGAAGGCGACUCUCUGGUCUGUAACUGACGCUGAGGCUCGAAAGCGUGGGUAGCAAACAGG